rnacentral:siRNA from 1 species
CAAGCUUGCGGUGUCUUGAA